GUACUAUUAGUACAUACUAGUAGUACUUGUACUACUAGUACUAGUACUAGUAGUCCAUAGUAAUCGUAUAUACUAGUAGUACG
rnacentral:tRNA from 1 species